rnacentral:rRNA from 1 species
ACGUAGGGGGCAAGCGUUGUCCGGAUUUAUUGGGCGUAAAGAGCUCGUAGGCGGUUUCGUAAGUCGGGUGUGAAAAAUCUGGGCUCAACCCAGUGGAGCACCCGAUACUGCGAUGACUGGAGUCCGGUAGAGGAGUGUGGAAUUUCUGGUGUAGCGGUGAAAUGCGCAGAUAUCAGAAGGAACACCGAUAGCGAAGGCAGCACUCUGGGCCGGUACUGACGCUGAGGAGCGAAAGCAUGGGUAGCAAACAGG